rnacentral:rRNA from 1 species
AUUGAACGCUGGCGGCAUGCCUUACACAUGCAAGUCGAACGGCAGCACGGGAGCAAUCCUGGUGGCGAGUGGCGAACGGGUAAGUAAUAUAUCGGAACGUGCCCAGUCGUGGGGGAUAACGCAGCGAAAGCUGUGCUAAUACCGCAUACGAUCUAUGGAUGAAAGCGGGGGAUCGCAAGACCUCGCGCGAUUGGAGCGGCCGAUAUCAGAUUAGCUAGUUGGUGAGGUAAAGGCUCACCAAGGCGACGAUCUGUAGCUGGUCUGAGAGGACGACCAGCCACACUGGAACUGGGACACGGUCCAGACUCCUACGGGAGGCAGCAGUGGGGAAUUUUGGACAAUGGGCGAAAGCCUGAUCCAGCAAUGCCGCGUGCAGGAUGAAGGCCUUCGGGUUGUAAACUGCUUUUGUACGGAACGAAACGGUGAGCUCUAAUACGGUGGGCUAAUGACGGUACCGUAAGAAUAAGCACCGGCUAACUACGUGCCAGCCGCGGUAACAC